AGUAAGUCGCGUUAAGGAUUGAAAUGGCAUCCUUUUUUACUGUCAGUUCAAGUCAAUUUGCUCUUUUGCAAAUUUGUAUCGAGAACAGAAGUAAAAAAGAUAUAAUGGAAAGCCUGUUAAAAC
rnacentral:sRNA from 1 species